GAUGAACGCUGGCGGCGUGCCUAAUACAUGCAAGUCGAGCGAACAGACGAGGAGCUUGCUCCUUUGACGUUAGCGGCGGACGGGUGAGUAACACGUAGGUAACCUACCUAUAAGACUGGGAUAACUUCGGGAAACCGGAGCUAAUACCGGAUAAUAUUUCGAACCGCAUGGUUCGAUAGUGAAAGAUGGCUUUGCUAUCACUUAUAGAUGGACCUGCGCCGUAUUAGCUAGUUGGUAAGGUAACGGCUUACCAAGGCAGCGAUACGUAGCCGACCUGAGAGGGUGAUCGGCCACACUGGAACUGAGACACGGUCCAGACUCCUACGGGAGGCAGCAGUAGGGAAUCUUCCGCAAUGGGCGAAAGCCUGACGGAGCAACGCCGCGUGAGUGAUGAAGGUCUUCGGAUCGUAAAACUCUGUUAUUAGGGAAGAACAAACGUGUAAGUAACUGUGCACGUCUUGACGGUACCUAAUCAGAAGGCCACGGCUAACUACGUG
rnacentral:rRNA from 1 species